CCAGACUCCUACGGGAGGCAGCAGUGGGGAAUAUUGGGCAAUGGGCGCAAGCCUGACCCAGCAACGCCGCGUGAAGGAAGAAGGCUUUCGGGUUGUAAACUUCUUUUCUGAGGGACGAAGGAAGUGACGGUACCUCAGGAAUAAGCCACGACUAACUACGUGCCAGCAGCCGCGGUAAUACGUAGGGGGCAAGCGUUACCCGGAUUUACUGGGUGUAAAGGGAGCGCAGGUGGCAAGGCAAGCCAGAAGUGAAAACCCGGGGCUUAACCCCGCGGAUUGCUUUUGGAACUGUCUGGCUGGAGUGCAGGAGGGGCAGGCGGAAUUCCUGGUGUAGCGGUGAAAUGCGUAGAUAUCAGGAGGAACACCGGUGGCGAAGGCGGCCUGCUGGACUGUAACUGACACUGAGGCUCGAAAGCGUGGGGAGCGAACAGGAUUAGAUACCCCAGUACG
rnacentral:rRNA from 1 species